UACGGGGGGGGGCAAGCGUUGUUCGGAAUUACUGGGCGUAAAGGGCUCGUAGGCGGCCAACUAAGUCGGAUGUGAAAUCCCUAGGCUUAACCUGGGAACUGCAUCCGAUACUGGAUGGCUUGAAUCCGGGAGAGGGAUGCAGAAUUCCAGGUGUAGCGGUGAAAUGCGUAGAUAUCUGGAGGAAUACCGGUGGCGAAGGCGGCAUCCUGGACCGGCAUUGACGCUGAUGAGCGAAAGCUAGGGGAGCAAACGGGG
rnacentral:rRNA from 1 species